rnacentral:rRNA from 1 species
GAUGAACGCUAGCGGCAGGCCUAAUACAUGCAAGUCGGACGGGAUUGAGUAGCUUGCUAUUCAUGAGAGUGGCGCACGGGUGCGUAACACGUAUGUAACCUACCCUUGUCAGGGGGAUAGCCUCUCGAAAGAGAGAUUAAGACCGCAUAACAUUGUAAUGUGGCAUCACAAAACAAUCAAAUAUUUAUAGGACAAGGAUGGGCAUGCGGAACAUUAGCUAGUUGGUAAGGUAACGGCUUACCAAGGCUACGAUGUUUAGGGGAUCUGAGAGGAUGACCCCCCACACUGGUACUGAGACACGGACCAGACUCCUACGGGAGGCAGUAGUAAGGAAUAUUGGUCAAUGGGCGGAAGCCUGAACCAGCCAUGCCGCGUGCAGGAAGACGGCCCUAUGGGUUGUAAACUGCUUUUGCAGGGGAAUAAACCUCGAUACGUGUAUCGAGCUGAAUGUACUCUGAGAAUAAGGAUCGGCUAACUCCGUGCCAGCCGCCGCGGUAAUAC